UACAGAGGUCUCGAGCGUUGUUCGGAAUUACUGGGCGUAAAGAGUGUGUAGGUGGUGUCGUAAGUUUGGUGUGAAAUCUCCCGGCUUAACUGGGAGGGUGCGCCGAAGACUGCGAUGCUGGAGUAUGGGAGAGGAAAGCGGAAUUCCUGGUGUAGCGGUGAAAUGCGUAGAUAUCAGGAGGAACACCUGCGGUGUAGACGGCUUUCUGGACCAUUACUGACACUGAGACACGAAAGCGUGGGUAGCAAACAGG
rnacentral:rRNA from 1 species